UACAGAGGUCUCAAGCGUUGUUCGGAUUCAUUGGGCGUAAAGGGUGCGUAGGCGGCGCGGUAAGUCGGGUGUGAAAUCUCGGAGCUUAACUCCGAACUGCAUUCGAUACUGCCGUGCUUGAGGACUGGAGAGGAGACUGGAAUUACGGUGUAGCUGGUGAAAUGCGCAGAUAUCAGGAGGAACACCGAUGGCGAAGGCGGGUGCUGGGCUGACACUGACGCUGAAGCGCGAAAGCCAGGGAGCGAACGGG
rnacentral:rRNA from 1 species